GGAGGAAAAGAAACCAACCGGGAUUGCCCCAGUAACGGCGAGUGAAGCGGCAACAGCUCAAAUUUGAAAUCCGGCCCCGGGACGGGGUCUGAGUUGUAAUUUGCAGAGGGCGUUUCGGGGGCGGCGCCGGCCUAAGUUCCUUGGAACAGGACGUCAUAGAGGGUGAGAAUCCCGUCUGCGCGCCGAUGGCCCAACCCCGGGUGAACGCUUUUCGACGAGUCGAGUUGUUUGGGAAUGCAGCUCCAAACGGGUGGUAAAUUCCAUCUAAAGCUAAAUACCGGCCAGAGACCGAUAGCGCACAAGUAGAGUGAUCGAAAGAUGAAAAGCACUUUGGAAAGAGAGUCAAACAGUACGUGAAAUUGUUGAAAGGGAAGCGCUGGCGACCAGACCUGUCGUCGGGCGAUCAUCCGCCAUCUCUGGCGGUGCUCCUCGCCCGGCCCGCAGGCCAGCAUCGGUUCGGGCGGCGGGACAAAGCGCCCGGGAACGUAGCUUCCCCCGGGGAGCCUUACAGCCCGGGCGGCCAUGCCGCCCGCCCGGACCGAGGACCGCGCUCCGGCUAGGAUGCUGGCGUAAUGGUCGUCAGCGACCCGUCUUGAAACACGGACCAAGGAGUCUACCAUCCGUGCGAGUGUUUGGGCGGCAAAACCCGGACGCGCAAUGAAAGUGAACGGAGGUGAGACCCCCUCCGCCGCGGGGGGCGCAUCAUCGACCGAUCCAGAUGUUUUCGGAUGGAUUUGAGUACGAGCACGGCCGGUGGGACCCGAAAGAUGAUGAACUAUGCCUGAAUAGGGUGAAGCCAGAGGAAACUCUGGUGGAGGCUCGCAGCGGUUCUGACGUGCAAAUCGAUCGUCGAAUUUGGGUAUAGGGGCGAAAGACCAAUCGAAUCAU
rnacentral:rRNA from 1 species